rnacentral:rRNA from 1 species
AACGUAGGUGGCGAGCGUUAUCCGGAUUUACUGGGCGUAAAGCGCGUGCAGGUGGUUUGGCAAGUCGGGCAUUAAAUCUCUGGGCUUAACCCAGAGGCGCUGUCCGAUACUGCUAGGCUUGAGGACGGUAGAGGGCGAUGGAAUUCCGCGUGUAGUGGUGAAAUGCGUAGAUAUGCGGAGGAACACCAGUGGCGAAAGCGGUCGCCUGGACCGAACCUGACACUAAAGCGCGAAAGCUAGGGUAGCGAACGGG